UGAAACUCCAUUUCUCUCGCUCUGAAGUCUAAAGAUCCAGAGACCUAAGAGAUAAUAAGCUGUUUCUCACAGCCUCUUUACUUUGAAUACUGGUGGUCUUCCAUGAACCCUCUGUGCAGAAUGGAGAGCUUCUUUAAAAGGAUGGGCAGUUCUGAAGAUUAGCAAUGCUAAUAUGUAAGGAUGAAGAAUUAAAGCAAGGAACCAUUUUGGGGGAGUUAAUCGGAUCACAUUCCAUGCUCUCUAUCCUCAUCCACUGAGUCAGGGAGCAGGUUGUCAGGAAGAUACCUGCCAGCAUCCAACUUGCAGGCAGCAAGCAAAGGGAACUAGAAGUGUUGGCUGAUCAGCAGUCUGCCUGAAGACAGAAACAUCAGCAGAGGACUGUGGACCUAAAGAGACAAGCCAAUGAAGCUGGCUAAAAUCUCUGUUCAUCAGUUGCAAGUAGUGAGAGAAGAAACCUCAAGGCCACCUGGACAAUUUCACAAGAGCAGAAGCCUAGAAAGUGAAGCCAAGGUACCUAAAUAGUAUAGGGGAAACACACCUGCCUCCAAAUCCUCUUUCCCCCCAAAUAACCUGUCUUUCGUGAUAAGCUACAUAUUUCACAAGAAGAAUUGUUUUUGACUAUGAGCCAUACUUUUGUGUAUUGAUGUGGUACAGAAGUGAGCUUAAAAAGCAUGAGAAUGAAGGAAAUUUCACAGGAAUAGACUAAAGUAACUAUCAUGGCAUAGAAGGCGUUAUUGCUUCAGAAUUUGGGUCUGGUCCGUUCUUCUAUAACAUGUGUAACUUGUAAGUUCCAGUGGAGGGGAAAAUAGGCCUCCUAGGGCCAAACCCAGUUUACUUUACUCAUUAUGGAAAUAAUUCCACUAAAUUCAAUGUGAUCAUUCACAUGAGUGAGUUAAAGAAGAGUUGUCCAUUGAUUAUAUCCUAAAUAUGCUGUUAAAAGUUCAAGUUUGUCAUUGGAAUACUGGCAUGUCUCUAGCAAAAUUACAUGGGUUUUAAUCUAAAAUAUACAAUUCACUUUUAGGAGUAAAAUUCAGUGAGACUAACUCAAGAACCUUUUGUUUGUUUGCUUGUUUGCUUGUUGUUUGCCAACAUUCCUGCAAACUAAGUUUUGUUCAGGAUAGUGAAUUUUUGGCUAGUAGCCAAGAUUCACCAUGGAAUCUAUUUUGCAGUCAAAAAGAACUUCAGGCAGAAGCAGAAAUAAAAGAUAGGACCUGCCAGUCAGGGAACAGAAAUAGUAUAAUUGUGAACAAAGUCAUAGAACUCACCUGCAAUAUUGAGGUACCUGAAGCAAUACUUGCAGUGAGCAUUUCAUGAACAACCCAGAAACUGAUAUUUGUUUGCACAAAGCAUUUACUAAAUGGCAAAUAAAUACCUAAUAUCACAAUCUGGCCCAGUUCCUCUAAGGUAUUUAGAUACCCAAUACCCAUUGAAUUCCAUGGAACUUAGAGGCCCAAUUUCUUCUGACUUGUGAACAAGAAAAAUGAUUAAUUUGCUGGUUGAAUGGUUUGUGGCAAAUUAUUUGGCCAUCUCAUGUAGAGGGCCAGUACAGCUAAUUGUGCCAUCGUUCAAGGACAAUGCAACUGAGACUCAAUUAUUCGAGAUGUUCAAAAGAUAUUUUUGCUAGGACCUAUUUUGAUGACAGAUUAUGUCAAUUAUACAUUUUGGGAAACAGAAGUCACUUGAUAAGGACUUACCAAUAGUCCAUUUAGCAAAACCACAAACACUUGAUGACUGACUACAUAGAGAUGUCAGCUUUCUAGCUAGAGAUGAGUAAACUUAUUUGAAUAAAAUAAGAAUUGACCUGAAGCAGGACCUAAUGUUUCAAGUGAAUGGAAUGUUGUUGUUACUCAGGUCUGUUUGGUUAACCCUCCCCGCCCCCAACAAUUUUUUAUUUCCAUGCAUCUCUGCACUUUCGGCUAGAAACAGAAGCUGAAGUAAUAAAAUAUCCCAAGAAAGGCUAUUCUUGUGCGACUUCCGGCCCUACUGGACGCAGCAAGAACAGGAAAUCUUACAAGCGAGACUGUUGUUUCAUAAUUUCCAACCCAGUUUUGCAAACUCAAGUGACUUCAUAUAGAUAAACUUCUAAAAAUGCAUCCUUCAAACUUAUCUGCAAAAGAUGCAGAGGGAUGAAUAGUGAUCAUUCUGAGGAUAUUCACUCACUCUCAGGUCGAGACACCCAAAACAUGUAUUUCCAAACUUUAUAGUUAGUCACGUAACACCUCAUGUCAUGCAAGAAUCUAAUACAAGUCAAGAUCCCAACAUCUCUGUGUCCACAUGCAAACGAAUUAUGUAAAGAACUUUAAUGGGGAAAAAUCCUGGCCUGCUCAGUGGCUAUGAGAGCUCUGGCCGUAGUACAAGGAACAGAGUCCAUGAUCGCAAGCUCCCAUCCCUGCUGUGAGUUCACAUUCCCCUGUUGCUGCACAGCUGUUUUCCAUGAAAGCUCCUUGUGCCCCAGUGAGCUGAAAGUUUGGGGGGUGGAGCUGGUGGAUUCAGGACUUUGCUGACCCACUAGCAAUUUCUUCUGCAGAAGGAAGAUGCAGCAGCAAGCUACUAAUACCAUCAAGAUAUGUACAUAACAAAGCCUAGCCAUAGGACCUCAUUCUUAUGGUUCUAUUUGUUCCUUUCCUUCUAUUUCCUCUGCAUUGUUGUUACUUUUAUGCAUUGUGUCUUGUCUAAAAUGUUGAUUAUAAGCUGGGCAGGGAAGUCACUGUGCCUGUUUAUUUGCUUGUGAGAUAUCUGUCCUGCUCUGGGGCACCACCUCAGUAGCAAUAAUUGAGCAAAUGCUGCUUUAUGUGUUUUGUUAGCAGCUUUAUGUUGUGCAAUAAGAAUUUUUCAUAAUAAAACCAGCGAUGGCUAAAUUAUCAGUAUAAAAGUACAGAAAGGGAGUCUUCCCGCUGACUUCAGUGGGCUUCGGGCCAGGCCCACAGUGAGAUGCGGAUCUUAAAACCAUUCAGAAAUAUUUUGCAGAAGUUAUGCAGUUAAGCAUAAAGAUGGACACACACGCUGUCAAAGAUGAUGACUCAGAUAUAAGCCCUUCCUGCAAUGUCACUCUCGAGAACAAAUGUCUUCCCUCUCAGUAACUGAUACAGUAUUUCUGGCUCUGCAGCUGCGAUACCAGAUUGCAUUUUCAGUAUUCCUUUGGCAAUUUAAAAACCUUGUAAUCAUCUGCUUCAACACAGAAAGCCAGUCAAACUGCCAAUAUAGUGCUGCCGCUCUUUGUUUCCCUCACGCACAUCCAGGAUGCAGCUUUUUAAUUCAGUGCAACACUUGGGACAUUUGGAGAUGGAAUGCAACCACUUGAAACUGUUUGGUUUGUCACUUUUGGAUUUGCUACAUAAGGAUAUGUUAAUACAAACAGGGCCUGUUUAUAAUAUUAAUCAGACAAAGGAAGAAAUUCCUCUGAUGUCUGUGUAAUGCAAUGAGCAGACUUCUUGAUUAUUAACAUAUUGAUUGUCUAUUCUUAUUUCAGAUGUUAGCUCAGGGAUGGGAGAAGAAAAAUAUGAGAUGCAUGACGUAUUUGGGAUUCAGUCUGUGAAACUGGAAAAAAUAUUUAUAUGAUUAGAUUGCAUUUUUAUGUAAUAUUUUCCUUUUAUGUAAUAUUUGGAUAUGCAACUGAACUUUUCAGUACUUACCCAAAUCAAACCACACCUCUAAACUUUAGAGCAAACAUGGUGAGAGAUUAAAUGAAAGGGACGUGUCUCCCCAGUCUUUAAUAAUGCUCUUGACGUCCCAUUAGUGAUGAUAUAAGCGUGCCCCCCCCGCAUUUAUUUCUUUAGACUGAGCACUUAAGCACAUGCUUAACUGUAAGCACUACAAUAGGACUACUCAAAGGUUAAAACCUAAGCAUGCGCUUAAAUGCUUUCCCAGAUCAGCAUCCUCCUAAUCCUUCCUCCUAAUCUUUAGAGCGUCUCACCUCAUUAUUGAUAACCAAUUCUUUGGUUGAAAGGCACACUGGUAGCUGCAAAGCAAGGAAUCUUAAACAUUUGCACAGUUUGAUCAUGCAUGAAAACAGUCCAUGAAAUGCAGUGCACAACAGCCAGCAUGCUUAAUGUUCCUAGCCAGAAAUAACUUCAAUGGGUUUCGACUGUUAUAUCCUGUCACCAGUUACUUACCAGCUUACAAUACUCUCAUUAUUAAUAAUGCACAUUUUUUGAUGCCUUAGUCAUAGGAAAAGCAGCAAAUACUUUUUGCAUUACUCUGUUUUCACCCUCUAGGUCUUAUCUCCUGCUUUAAUUUACUGUUUGUUAUUUUUAAAAGGAACUUUCACUUUUGGUUAGUUUCAGAGCCCACCCUGGAUAUCCCCGGGAUGGGUUGAAGUGCAUUAGAUAGGAUGUUAACUUGCAUUAAUGUGGAAACUUAGAAUCCAAAAAGAACUUGUACCACUGCCCAAAAAUGAGUCAUUGUCCUUUUUCUCUUUUUAGCCAACUUCAGAUUCAGAAGCUGUGAGACAGUUUCCUGCAGAUAAGAGAUAAAUAGAAGGGAAACCUGGCAAAAAGAUGAUGGUCAAAUUGCAAGAUAUCAUUUCCUCCAAAGUUCCUACAUACUAAUUAACCAUUCCAGACAUAUUUUCAACAGCAUUUAGGGAUUUCCUCAUCAAAAUAAACUUCCUCCCAUGUUAUCUUCAUUUUUGGCAUCUGGUAAUAUAGUUUACUAUAAGAAUCCUAAUGUUGGGUUAUAUAUAUAUUUGAAGUUUUGCCAGCAUUGCAUUAGAAUCCUAGUGCCUGAUCCAACUCCCAAUGUAAUCAAGCUGGAUAGAGCCCCUGUCCUUCUAAGAUUUUUUUUCACUUACGACUUGUCUAAAACAAACUACAGAUGGAUUCAAGUCAUAAAGUUCAGAUAAAUAUUCAUUUCCGAAGUUUGGAUCCUUGCAUUGGACCCAUUGCUUUAAAAUACUGUUUAUGCAUUUCUCAGAUCUUGCUUUGAAACAGAAAAUAUUGUCAGAAUGAAAGUGUAUCUGCCAUAAACAAUAUUUUCAUUAUCUUCUCCUUAAUUUUUUUCUCCUUUAGAUGCUGAUUUCUUAACUGCACAAUUUGUUUUAAGGUUUCCCUUGAAUGCAAACUUGUCAUACCUGAUUUGCAAUCUUUUCUGUUUCAAGUGCUAUCAAUUAUUUUCUAACUAGAUGCUCCUGUGGGUUCAGCUGUCACUAAGAGCAAAUUUGAGCACAAUAGUUUGCUUCCUAUUUCUCAAAGAAUCUGAAGAUUGUCAAGACUUGACAGGCAGCUCCAGUUUUAAGAUGAAGCAGAUAAGUUAGGUUUUUCUGUUAGGCACUUUUGAAGGGAAGGACAUAAAAGGAAGUAUUGUUUCUGGAGAAAUAGUCAUUAUAGUGCACAUUUGCAUCUAUUAAGAAUAAACUGCACUUGCUUUGGGGCACAAAACCCAGCAUAUUUGCACUUCAUUAAAUGUGAAAAUCUGGACUAUUUUGAUGUGAAAAUACCCCCUCCCCUUGUUUUUUAAGAACCAGCACUCAAACACAUUUGUGUUGUAAUAUUUAUCUUGCAAAGAUCUUGUUUAGGAUACAUUAGAAAAAAUCCUAAAAUAAAGUGUAUGAUUUAGAGUAAACAUUGUGUACAAGAAAAUACACGUGCAUGUGUGCACAUGCACACACAAACAUAAACCAAAUUAAUCUUUGUUCAGAUUCAUCCAAAUAUGGUCUAAAUUUAUCCCUGGUAUAAUUCUAUUUAUUUCAAAGGAGUUACAUAUGUCAUGGUAGAAUGUGUCCUGGUGAUUACUCUAUUUACUAUAAAGCAGAAACUAAUGCUGAAUAUAAAGGACACUAUGAAUAACAAUGUUAUUACUUUUAGUGAAUCACUUAGUCUGGCUCUCUUUAUCUAUUUGUAACUGUGAGAUAAUGUGCUGAUCUUGUGCUUGAAAAUGGAUUAGAAUAGUGCUCAGAUUCAGCCUUAGUAUGAACAGGUGUGGCAGCUAUCACUGACUUUCUUAAACUAGAUGUGUAAAGAAAUGUAGCGCAAUUGAUAGAAAACUUCCUACUGUUUUAGCAUGGCAGAGUGACAGUUACAAAGACAUGUAAUUAUCUGUAGGGGAGAUAUGACUUAUAAGACAUACAGCAUGAGCAGCAGGAAGUUUUGCUGCACCUCAUCUCUUUUCUGAGAGGGCCACCUUUAUGUUUGAGACGGAAGGUCAGUUUGUCUCCUUGCCCAUUCAAUCCUUAUCCUUGCUACUGAGUAUGCCAACAAGUGUGCCAUCUAGUGUCAGUUGUAGUGGUGGGUUUUGUAUGGACACUUGUCCACUACUAACUGGGCAAAGAACUUCCUUUAUUUUUUAUCUAGAGAGGGAAAGCUCUGAUAGUCCAAUGUGUCACUUGCUCAUUAUUUUGGGGUGGGUCCAAUACCCACUGGCUUCAAUGGAACUACUGACAUGCCUAAAGUUACGCACAUUUUGUAAGCAUCUCACUGAAUUAAAGACCUCAUGUUAGAUUCUGUGAGAGAAAUUCUUCCUUCAGAUAUAUUACUGGCACCUCACUGUAUGAGCCAAGAACCCUCUUGAAUCUAAAGACAGAUUUUGACACUCUGGGUUUGCAAUGAAAAUGAGUAUAUAAUUUUAAACUUUAAAACACUUGAAAAUAUUCAGAAUACGGCAAACACCCUGCACAGAAAUUUUAUCUUGAAUGCUUAAAAUUAAGGGAAGGCAUAAGCAACUUAAAAAUGUUGAUAAGACCUCUUGCACAAGAACCCUUGCACAAGAUGUUCUUGCACAAGAAGCCGCCAGUGUAGACAUAGCUUAGGUCAUGCCUAUAGCAAAAGACAUAUCAGAUAUUGAAAUGAUACAAAACUUCCACUUACCAAGAAUAUAGGUGUAACUCAUAUAUC